GGUCCAGGGACAGAGGGAGGGACCGCCGCCGGGUGCCUUUUUCUGCAGAGACUUUCCCCUGUCUUCAUUCAGCAGAGAGAGCCAAGCCAACGCAAACCAUCAUGAAGACCCUUGGGCUGCUCUUGGCUGCCAUCUUGGUCCCUGGGGCCAUGGCCAUGGCCAUUGAAGAGAGCCGGCCCUUGCUGGAAUCAUCUCAACAAAUGCGACAUCCCUGUUCCCGUUAUUAUCCGGGGUGUUACUCGUCAAUAAGUGGAGCACAACGACCUGAACUUCCACGGUUUGAAGUGUCCACCGAUUCCAGAUUUUGGUCAGCUCUGAAGCCCAGCGAACUGGUAAAUCUAGAAAGGGGAAGAGGGACAGUUUGGAGGGAGAAGAUCCCCAUUUAUUUAUUUUAAACAAGUUCUCUAGAGCACUGGUGCUUCACUAUGGGCAAAGCAUUCCAGGAUUCCAUAGGAUGAGGCUACACCACUUAAGUACAUUAUUUCCACAGUGUGUAUGCACCCCUUGUAAAGCUACAGACCCCAGGACUCAACAGGAUGGAGCUGCAUCACUUAAAGUGGUGUCAAACUGCA